GCGGUGCUGCGCGGCGCGGCGGCCUGGCGGGUCCGGAAGCGCCAUGGACCCCCCGGGAAACGCGCGCGCGGCGGCGGAGUCCAACCCCACUGCGACUCGGACCCCGGACCUCACCCUGCGGAGACCUGAUGAUUUCCCUGGUUCAACACCAAAACCCUGGAAUUGAAUGGAAAAUGCAAAGGCAGGGCCCUGCCCCCCAGGGGGUGCAAUCCCUGCCUCCUACUUCUGCAGUAAGAGUUAGGUCUGCUCAGUUGGUCCAACCCAGCCGCCCGCUGUUACGCACUUUUUUGCAGAGUGUAUACUAAUCACCUUAGAUUUUAGUCCAUCUGCGAUUCCGCUUUAUAACUUCCGCUCUGCUAUAGAUCUUGAUGUGGAAGAGAUGGAGGACUCAGAACCAAGGAUUUCCAAGUGAUUUCUUCCAAAGCACGAGAAACUAAUUUCGUUAAGGCUGAUCCGUUCUA